rnacentral:lncRNA from 1 species
GAAGUUGUAUAUUAUUGUAUUAUUUUCUUUAUUUUCAUUUAUUUUAUUUUUCAAAUGACAAAUGUAUUCUCAUCCCUUUGGUUGUAAUUUUAAUUAUUUACUUGCUUUUAUUUUUUGCCUUUAGUUAGAUAAAUUGAACUAAUAAAUAAUUGAAAAAAAUAAAAUCAACCCUUUUACUAAAUAAGUAAAAAGCUUGAUCAACAUCAAGGGCAUUUUCAUAAACUAAUUAAAUAAAUUAUUUUUGAGACAAAAAAUACUUCGUUAACACCAAAUUUCCAUUUCAAAAUUCAACUUCCAAACA